AUUGAACGCUGGCGGCAGGCCUAACACAUGCAAGUCGAGCGGGGUUUUCGGACCUAGCGGCGGACGGGUGAGUAAUGCGUAGGAAGCUACCCGAUAGAGGGGGAUACCAGUUGGAAACGACUGUUAAUACCGCAUAAUGUCUACGGACCAAAGUGUGGGACCUUCGGGCCACAUGCUAUCGGAUGCGCCUACGUGGGAUUAGCUAGUUGGUGGGGUAAUGGCUCACCAAGGCGACGAUCCCUAGCUGGUUUGAGAGGAUGAUCAGCCACACUGGAACUGAGACACGGUCCAGACUCCUACGGGAGGCAGCAGUGGGGAAUAUUGGACAAUGGGCGCAAGCCUGAUCCAGCCAUGCCGCGUGUGUGAAGAAGGCCUUCGGGUUGUAAAGCACUUUCAGUGGGGAGGAAGGAUGUUGUGUUAAUAGCACAGCAUUUUGACGUUACCUACAGAAGAAGCACCGGCUAACUCUGUGCCAGCAGCCGCCGUAA
rnacentral:rRNA from 1 species